GGAAACUUGGCAAGGAGAAAAAACCUUUAGAAGCUACUGGGAAGACCGAGAUUUAUGUUUCGCCGCUCUCGAGCGGAGAAUAAAGGGAAACUUGAGUGUGAGCAGAUUACGGAGAACAGCAAGAAAGAUUAAAAAAAAAAAAUCGCUGCAAAAGAGGGCACGGUGCACGUAUCUGCAAGUUGCAGCAGCCUGGAGAACAAAAAGGCUGCUGUUUGGAAAUGGAGGCAGAAGUACAGCGAGCUUAAAGGCACAGCACAUGGAAAACCCGCUGCGAACCCCAUUGCCAGCGCUCCCUGGAGAAAGAAAGACUCUACCCCUGUGACAUUGUUCCAGGCCUCAGGUAAUGACAGGAGUUGCCAGGUAAAGAUGUUGCUGAUUGAGGACUGAGAUGUACUGUCUACCAUCCCGGAAAGGCAGUACAGAUAUCACAGAAACCCAAAGCCCUGAGUUCAUCAUACCUUGAGAGCAUUCGCUUGUGUCCUGGAUGAAUCCGUAACUAUGGACCGGGCAGGACAAUUUGCUCAUAUGAGGAGGGUCCAGCCAUCUCUGCUCCCAAAAGCUACCGUCUCCAGCAGCAAAACUGUGGAAGUUCAGGCAGCGUUUCCAAUGGCGCUGUUAAUAUAACAUUACCCAUGCAAGCAGAGUGCCUUGGUGGGGUGCCAGCACACCAAAACCAGGCGGUGUUGCUGGGUCACAUUCAUCCCUGUCCUCGCUGGUAUCGGUGGGUUAAUUUAAUCAGCUGAAGAAGGUCCUCAGCCAGGUUACAGCCCUCUGCAGUAAUCCCCCGAGGCUGAAUUUUGCUCACUGUCCACACCUAAAAGAAAAGGGAGGGACUCAAGGUCUGAGGGUCAAGGAAACUAAGCACCUCUAGUGCUUACUGCCAUCGAGGGGUGCGGGUACACUCAGAACCCCCCUACAACCCCCAAACCUGCUCGGCAGCAUCCUGCGAGCACCAGAACGGCUGCCUGGCAAGGCUGCAGGGGGGAUGCUGUCCCAGCAAGGGUGACCCUGACUCGAUGGAUCUUACCUUCCCUGGUCACCUUCACCAGUGUCCAACAGUGGCCGAGGCACUCCCGAUCAGACAGGCGUGAA